UACGUAGGGGGCAAGCGUUAUCCGGAUUUACUGGGUGUAAAGGGAGCGCAGGCGGUGCGGCAAGUCUGAUGUGAAAGCCCGGGGCUCAACCCCGGGACUGCAUUGGAAACUGUCGUACUUGAGUGUCGGAGAGGUAAGUGGAAUUCCUAGUGUAGCGGUGAAAUGCGUAGAUAUUAGGAGGAACACCAGUGGCGAAGGCGGCUUACUGGACGACAACUGACGCUGAGGCUCGAAAGCGUGGGGAGCAAACAGG
rnacentral:rRNA from 1 species